rnacentral:rRNA from 1 species
GAGCGGCGGACGGGUGAGUAACGCGUGGGAAUUUUUCCUGGAGUACGGAACAACCGAGGGAAACUUCGGCUAAUACCGUAUGAUGCAGGCCAAAGAUUUAUCGCUCUGGGGUGAGCCCGCGUCAGAUUAGGUAGUUGGUGGGGUAAAGGCCUACCAAGCCUGCGAUCUGUAGCUGGUCUGAGAGGACGAUCAGCCACACUGGGACUGAGACACGGCCCAGACUCCUACGGGAGGCAGCAGUGGGGAAUCUUGCGCAAUGGGCGAAAGCCUGACGCAGCCAUGCCGCGUGAGUGAAGAAGGUCUUAGGAUUGUAAAGCUCUUUCGCUCGUGACGAUGAUGACGGUAACGAGAGAAGAAGCCCCGGCUAACUUCGUGCCAGCAGCCGCGGUAAUACGAAGGGGGCUAGCGUUGUUCGGAAUUACUGGGCGUAAAGCGCGCGUAGGCGGUUUUGCAAGCCAGAGGUGAAAUGCCUGAGCUCAACUCAGGAAUGGCCUUUGGGACUGCGAGGCUUUGAGGACUGGAGAGGUGAGUGGAAUUCCCAGUGUAGAGGUGAAAUUCGUAGAUAUUGGGAAGAACACCGGUGGCGAAGGCGGCUCACUGGCCAGUUUC